rnacentral:tRNA from 1 species
GCCGCCGUAGUUCAAUGGAUAGAACUGGACACUCCUAACGUCCCGAUACAGGUUCGAUUCCUGUCGGUGGCA